CCUACGGGUGGCAGCAGUGAGGAAUAUUGGUCAAUGGACGUGAGUCUGAACCAGCCAAGUAGCGUGAAGGAUGACUGCCCUAUGGGUUGUAAACUUCUUUUAUAAAGGAAUAAAACGAGGCACGUGUGCCUUUUUGGAUGUACCUUAUGAAUAAGGAUCGGCUAACUCCGUGCCAGCAGCCGCGGUAAUACGGAGGAUUCGGGCGUUAUCCGGAUUUAUUGGGUUUAAAGGGUGCGUAGGUGGGUUGUUAAGUCAGUUGGUAAAGUCCGCGGCUCAACCCUAGCAUUGCAAUUGAAACUGGCAGUCUGGAGUACAGGUGAGGUAGGCGGAAUGCGUGGUGUAGCGGUGAAAUGCUUAGAUAGCACGAAGAACCCCGAUUGCGAAGGCAGCUUACU
rnacentral:rRNA from 1 species